UGUGCAAGGUAAUGAUUUUUCAUGCCCGGACUUACCAAACAUAGGAAAACAAUUAAUUUUCCGUUCCCAAGCCUCCUUUCCCAUGAACCAAACGGGGCCUAAAUGAUGACACAUGUCCCAUAGUUAGCCUUAAUGAACUUUUAUGUGAGAAUAAAUAAGGUUAAUUAUGGGACACGUGUCACCUUUUAAGGGUAGUGAUGAGCAUACACCUUUUGUUAAUGUGGUGAGCCAAAAUGCUCCCUCUCAUAAGAUGCAUUUAGGGAAUCACAUGACAAGGACCCACCCAAUCAACCACCUCAUCAGCCUCCAGUCAAGCCCAACCAAG
rnacentral:lncRNA from 1 species